rnacentral:rRNA from 1 species
UAGGGAAUCUUCCGCAAUGGACGCAAGUCUGACGGAGCAACGCCGCGUGAGUGAAGAAGGAUUUCGGUUCGUAAAACUCUGUUGUUAGAGAAGAACAGCGCAUAGAGUAACUGUUAUGCGUGUGACGGUAUCUAACCAGAAAGCCACGGCUAACUACGUGCCAGCAGCCGCGGUAAUACGUAGGAGGCAAGCGUUGUCCGGAUUUAUUGGGCGUAAAGCGAGCGCAGGCGGUCAAUUAAGUCUGAUGUGAAAGCCCCCGGCUCAACCGGGGAGGGUCAUUGGAAACUGGUUGACUUGAGUGCAGAAGAGGAGAGUGGAAUUCCAUGUGUAGCGGUGAAAUGCGUAGAUAUAUGGAGGAAAACCAGUGGCGAAGGCGACUCUCUGGUCUGUAACUGACGCUGAGGCUCGAAAGCGUGGGUAGCAAACAGG